rnacentral:lncRNA from 1 species
GACACUAAGACAAACACAUAGGUGCUCGAAAGAGUACUCGAGUACACUGAACUACGAUCAAAAGAGAGUUCGGACAUACAUGUCAUAUAUGAACUCUAAGGUUGCAAUAUGCAAAGUAGUCCUUUGACCUGAGGCAUCAUCGAUGUCUAAUGGUUAGGUCCUUGAUCUUUGAUCAUGUCAACGGCAUUCCUUUGGAGUGUCCACGGCAUUGUUG